CUGUUAGUUUAUAAAUUCAAACUCAUUUUCUUAUAUAGGUGAGAACAAGCCAAAACCAUAUUUUUUCCAAUGGUUAUGAUUACCUUAUGACGAUUAACCAUCUACAAUAUUAUUAUUAUUUGGGCAGUGGGAUUUUGAAGAAAAUAACAAAAGACAGAAAAAUAGAAAAUAUUCAACAACAAAGCAGGAAAUUAUGUUCGACCAGAUUGAAUGCUCAAAUUGUGGUUAAACUGAUGGCCUGCCUGAUAUUCUACACUGAUUACUCCCUCCCCAGGGAGAUAUUAUAAACAAGGAUUUACUGUCAAAAUAUUUUUUAUUUGUCUGAAAACUAAUUUGCCAAGCCUGGAGAUCAGAGGUUUGGCGCAGAUGGGAAAAGCAACCUGUUCCUCUGCCUUGAAGGAAUCAGCUGUAGAGAGAACGGCAGCAAGUGGAAUGGAAAUGUCACUUCAGCCCCGAAGCUUCGUAAAUAUCAGGAAAGAAGACAGUACUAAUCUCCCAGCCCACAGCUCACAAAGCCACUCUCUCUUCCAGCAGGUGGAGUCACUAAAAAUAACAUGGAAUCUAUCAGGCAGUUUUCUUAGGACUUUUGUUACUCCAUUCUUGUGUCUCUGGUUUUAUUGCCUGGAUUGCUAA
rnacentral:lncRNA from 1 species